rnacentral:tRNA from 1 species
CAGAAGAUAGUUUAAGCUAAAACGUUGGUUUUGGAGAUCAUAGAUGGGGGAUUUCCUUUUUCUGA